UGUCUACAACAUAGCGUCAAUGCACCAUAUCCCAUUAGAACUCUGCAGUUAAGCAUGCCCGGGCUAGAGUAGUACUUGGAUGAGUGACCAUGUGGGAAGUCCUAGUGUUUUACAUGC
rnacentral:rRNA from 1 species